rnacentral:rRNA from 1 species
UACAGAGGUCUCAAGCGUUGUUCGGAUUCAUUGGGCGUAAAGGGUGCGUAGGCGGCGCGGUAAGUCGGGUGUGAAAUCUUGGAGCUUAACUCCGAAACUGCAUUCGAUACUGCCGUGCUUGAGGACUGGAGAGGAGACUGGAAUUUACGGUGUAGCGGUGAAAUGCGUAGAUAUGCGGAGGAACACCGAUGGCGAAGGCAAUCCCCUGGGCCUGCACUGACGCUCAUGCACGAAAGCGUGGGGAGCAAACAGG